UCGAGAAUUUUUCUCAAUGGGGGAAACCCUGAAGGAGCGACGCCGCGUGGAGGAUGAAGGUCUUCGGAUUGUAAACUCCUGUCAUUAGGGAACAAUUGCCGGUAAUUAACUGUUAUCGGCUUGAUAGUACCUGAAGAGGAAGAGACGGCUAACUCUGUGCCAGCAGCCGCGGUAAUACAGAGGUCUCAAGCGUUGUUCGGAUUCAUUGGGCGUAAAGGGUGCGUAGGUGGCGCCAUAAGUCAGGUGUGAAAUCUCGGGGCUCAACCCCGAAACUGCACUUGAUACUGUGGUGCUCGAGUACUGGAGAGGAGAUUGGAAUUUACGGUGUAGCAGUGAAAUGCGUAGAUAUCGUAAGGAAGACCAGUGGCGAAGGCGAAUCUCUGGACAGUUACUGACACUGAGGCACGAAGGCCAGGGGAGCAAACG
rnacentral:rRNA from 1 species